AACAGAGUGGUUCAGUGGUUAGCACUGCUGCCUAACAGCAAGACGGUCGUGGGUUCGAUUCCGGCCUGUGGCC